UUCCUGUGAUGCCUUCUAACAGCUGUUAUGUGACUUAUGAGUUUCCAAUGGUUCUCACACUCCAGCAACCAGUAGGUCCUGAGGCUACAUCUAGAUGGAAAAAUGGUAAAGGUGAUCUGAUGUGACGCUGAUACAAUGUUGCGCAAGAGCUGGCAACAGCGAAAGAGUGUCCUGAAAUCCCUUCUUCUCCAGAACUAAGACACCUCUGCACCACCCUGAGCCAGCUGCACCAAAAAUGACUGGGAGGAAAGAGCACCAGAGCCCUUUUUCUUUGCCAAGUGUGUAGCAUUGUGACUGGGCAUACAAACCCUCCCUUGGGAAAGAAGGCUACAAAGGGGUUAAAGAGAUACUUUGGAUCCAGGUAGCUCUACCCUGCGCACACACGAAGUAUGCAUGGACUGGAGCUUAAAAGGAGAGUGGAGCAGGUUAGUUCUGAGCAGCCAGUGGAGGUGAACUCUUAACUCCUGAGAUGAAGUGCUAUGGGAGGUCCAUUUGUCUGGUGUCCUGGACUAUUGAGAACCUACCUGACCUGCUGAGGGAAAAAGGGACUGUGACCACAUGAAAGUCCUGGGAUUUAUCCUUUGAUUUAUUCUGUUCAUAUAUCUUUUCUUUGUCCUUUUGUGGGAGGAGACUGAUAGCAAGCAAUCCAGAGGAGCAGUGGUACAGCACAUUUUGGAGGUGCAAAAAUGUGCUGCCCACCACAGGGCCUUGGAUUGGAACCUGAUGGAGAGAAUGGGCCUGGCUUCCCUUAAAAACUCCUGGAUGGGGCUGAAGGCAAAAAGCCUACCCCAGAUCCAGGGCAAUCUGGACUAGAAGGAUUAUAACCUGGAGGAUCAUGACUUUGUGAAGCCUGGAACCCCUUGACUGACAGCAGGACUAUCCUUUGUUAGGCUCAUAGUAUAUCCUGAAAGACAUGGACAAAACUCACAGCCUGGCUGGCGGACUGAGUCAUGGAAAAGCAGAUCAUUGUAGCGCUGGAGCUGUUGUCACUAGGGGGUGCCAGGAAAGAAUAUGCCCUUGCCUAAGCACUAAAUGAUGCCUGUGGUGAGUGAUCCCCAUCACACCCACCUGAGGAAAGGAAAACCCUGGAGGCCAAUGGAGGAAACUACUUGCUUGUGGUGACUGGGUUUGCAGCCUUACAAACAUUCAGUUUUAGGGGAACAUUUGAGAACAGCCCUGUUGAUUUCAAUGUGACUGCUCAGAUGUGUAAUUAUUUGCAGCAGGAGGUUCAUAGGAAGUAGCUUUGAAGUCUGGUGUUUGUUUCUCAGUCUGUACACCAGUAAUCUGGGGGCUUUUGUGAAGUCCAGUGAAGAUCAUGAAUCAAGAAAUAAUGUUAUAAAUCCUUUUAAAUAAAAAUGAUAGAUCAAGGUUCAAAUCAAUGUUUGUAGCUAUAAUCUCUCUGUCUAUAAUGGUCCAAGUCCAAAACACUCCAAACUUUGUGAAAGUUCAGAUUUGGGUUUUGAAGUCUCGAUCUGUGGAUUUCCAAAUCCAAGGAUUUAGUUGAACCCACUCUGGAGCUAGGGGUUCAAAUUCAGCUAUGGCAUAAGACACUAUUGCUCUUGCUCAAAUUAAAGGAGAUGUACUUACUUCAGCCAGGAUGGAAUUUGGCCCAAAAGUUAAGGGGUGAAUCUGUAGUCUUAGCUCAGGGCUUUUCUGUUAAUAUAUUUUCUGUUCUUCUUUUUUCUUAAAAGUAGUUAUUCUGGUAUGUAUUAUGUGACUAUGCUCCAUGUAUAGGUCACCACAUAAUUGUGCUGCCUGAGGAGCAGACUGGAAGUUUCCUAUUUCUCUGUGGGAGGAGUAACCUGGGCCAGCCCUUACCUGGGGCAGCUGCCCUGGUCAGCACAUUGGGAGGUGGAGCCAGAGCUUAUUCAUUUCACCCCACCCUAUCCCCCAAUACAGUAGAACCUCAGAGUUAUGAACACCUAUG